rnacentral:rRNA from 1 species
GAUGAACGCUGGCGGCGUGCCUAAUACAUGCCAGUCGAGCGAACAGAUGAGGAGCUUGCUCCUCUGACGUUAGCGGCGGACGGGUGAGUAACACGUGGAUAACCUACCUAUAAGACUGGGAUAACUUCGGGAAACCGGAGCUAAUACCGGAUAAUAUAUUGAACCGCAUGGUUCAAUAGUGAAAGACGGUUUUGCUGUCACUUAUAGAUGGAUCCGCGCCGCAUUAGCUAGUUGGUAAGGUAACGGCUUACCAAGGCAACGAUGCGUAGCCGACCUGAGAGGGGGAUCGGCCAACCUGGAACUGAGAACCGGGCAAAACUCCUAGGGGAGGCAGCAGUAGGGAAUCUUCCGAAAUGGGCGAAAGCUUGACGGAGCAACGCCGGGGGAGUGAAGAAGGUUUUCGGAUCGUAAAACUUUGUUAUUAGGGAAAAAAAAAUGUGUAAGUAACUAUGCCCGUCUUGACGGUACCUAAUCAGAAAGCCCCGGCGAACUACGU